AUUGAACGCUGGCGGCAGGCCUAACACAUGCAAGUCGAGCGGAUGAAGGGAGCUUGCUCCUGGAUUCAGCGGCGGACGGGUGAGUAAAUGCCUAGGAAUCUGCCUGGUAGUGGGGGAUAACGUCCGGAAACGGGCGCUAAUACCGCAUACGUCCUGAGGGAGAAAGUGGGGGAUCUUCGGACCUCACGCUAUCAGAUGAGCCUAGGUCGGAUUAGCUAGUUGGUGGGGUAAAGGCCUACCAAGGCGACGAUCCGUAACUGGUCUGAGAGGAUGAUCAGUCACACUGGAACUGAGACACGGUCCAGACUCCUACGGGAGGCAGCAGUGGGGAAUAUUGGACAAUGGGCGAAAGCCUGAUCCAGCCAUGCCGCGUGUGUGAAGAAGGUCUUCGGAUUGUAAAGCACUUUAAGUUGGGAGGAAGGGCAGUAAGUUAAUACCUUGCUGUUUUGACGUUACCAACAGAAUAAGCACCGGCUAACUUCGUG
rnacentral:rRNA from 1 species